GAGCUGCCUUCAGCAGCUCAUAUAUUAAAAUUGGAACAACAUAGAGAUUAGCAUGGUCCUUGUGCAAGGAUGGUGGGGAAAUUUAUGAAGCAGUCCAGAUUUUU